AGAAAGAACCAGUGCUGGCUGGCCUGGUGGGGUCUGUGAGGUCAUGCUGUGAUGUCAUAAUGGUAUCAACUGCCUAUAUCCCGGCUUGGCUGCUGCCUCCCUCAUUCUCCUUCAAUACCUGGAGACACAAAGCUCACCGGCAGGAGUAGAAACAACUGGCAGGAGAAACAUACUUGGCUGAGCCCUAUGGCCCCGAGAUGGAUGAUCACACUGUGGGAGUCGAUAACUGCCUGCUGUCCAUGCAGAAGAUACAGGAGCUGGAAUGCUCAGAGAAGAGAUGCCCACUUGCCUCGCCAUACCAGGCUUGAGGAAGAAAUGCCUCCAACCAAGCCAGUGGAUUAUGAUCACUCUGAUGGCAGUUUAUCCAAAAAACUAUCUCCCAGUGAGAAGAACAAGGAUCGCCAGAUUAAAGUCCUCGAUCUCAUUAACAAACAGUUAGUCGAGGAGAACAACUUGUUAG